rnacentral:rRNA from 1 species
GACGAACGCUGGCGGCGUGCUUAACACAUGCAAGUCGAACGGAAAGGCCUGCUUUCCCUUGUGGAUUGCGGGUACUCGAGUGGCGAACGGGUGAGUAACACGUGAGUGAUCUGCCCCCAACUUGGGUAUAAGCCUGGGAAACUGGGUCUAAUUCCCGAUAGGACUGCAGGGUGGUGCCUGUGGUGGAAAACGAUUUUCUAGUGGUUGGGGAUGAGCUCGCGGCCUAUCAGCUUGUUGGUGGGGUAAUGGCCUACCAAGGCGGCGACGGGUAGCCGGCCUGAGAGGGUGGACGGCCACAUUGGGACUGAGAUACGGCCCAGACUCCUACGGGAGGCAGCAGUGGGGAAUAUUGCACAAUGGGCGGAAGCCUGAUGCAGCGACGCCGCGUGGGGGAUGACGGCCUGCGGGUUGUAAACUCCUUUCGACCGCGAGGAAGCCACCUGGUUGGAAGGGUGGUGACGGUAGUGGUAGAAGAAGCACCGGCUAACUACGUG